GGGGAAUAUUGGACAAUGGGGGCAACCCUGAUCCAGCAAUGCCGCGUGGGUGAUGAAGGCCUUCGGGUUGUAAAGCCCUUUUGGCAGGGACGAUGAUGACGGUACCUGCAGAAUAAGCCCCGGCUAACUUCGUGCCAGCAGCCGCGGUAAUACGAAGGGGGCUAGCGUUGUUCGGAAUUACUGGGCGUAAAGGGCGCGUAGGCGGCUUCGAUAGUCAGGCGUGAAAUCCCCAGGCUCAACUUGGGAAUUGCGCUUGAUACUGCGAGGCUUGAGUGAGGGAGAGGAUAGUGGAAUUCCCAGUGUAGAGGUGAAAUUCGUAGAUAUUGGGAAGAACACCAGUGGCGAAGGCGGCUAUCUGGACCUCAACUGACGCUGAGGCGCGAAAGCGUGGGGAGCAAACAGGA
rnacentral:rRNA from 1 species